rnacentral:tmRNA from 1 species
GGGGCUGAUUUGGAUUCGACCUCGAAAAGAAGUUUGAAGACGCAUGCCGAGCACGCGGUUCAUCUCGUCAAAAAUGACCGCAAAAGAUUAGUCGCCAACGACGAAGUCUACUCCGUAGCAGCCUAAGGGCUGCUUCCGCUGGCUCCUGAGUUCCUCAUCUCUCGGGUUUAGUCAGCGUCAUACGAAUGAGGGUAGGUGAUCCCCGCUGACUGGCGCAGGGUGAUCCGAAACUUAGCCAGCACACCCUACGAGAGCCUGUCGAGCGGCGCGAAGAAGGGUCACCCAGUAGAUCGACUAAGCAUGUAGUGUUAACUGACGGGCGUUUGAGACACGAGGGUUCGACCCCCUCCAGCUCCACCA